UGCCCCCUGGCAAUGGACAAAGAGACACCUUGUUGUUGGUGUUCUUAUAUCGGUCAGGAGCAGAGCAGAUGGCAGUCCUUUGUUCAUCCUAGUUUGAUGCCUGGCUUGGUGCCCCAAAGCUGUUUUAGGCCUUGGACACAUCA